UACGGGGGGGGGUAAGCGUUGUUCGGAAUUACUGGGCGUAAAGGGCUCGUAGGCGGCCAACUAAGUCGGACGUGAAAUCCCUCAGCUUAACUGGGGAACUGCGUCCGAUACUGGAUGGCUUGGAUUCGGGAGAGGAAUGCGGAAUUCCAGGUGUAGCGGUGAAAUGCGUAGAUAUCUGGAGGAACACCGGUGGCGAAGGCGGCAUUCUGGACCGACAUUGACGCUGAGGAGCGAAAGCCAGGGGAGCAAAACGGGG
rnacentral:rRNA from 1 species